CCCUUAGAUGUUCUGGGCCGCACGCGCGCUACACUGACUGGUGCAACAAGUGUCGCUCCUUGGCCGAUAGGCCUGGGCAAUCUUUGAACGCCAGUCGUGAUGGGGAUAGAUUCUUGCAAUUUUUGAUCUUCAACGAGGAAUUCCUAGUAAACGCGAGUCAUCAACUCGCAUUGAUUACGUCCCUGCCCUUUGUACACACCGCCCGUCGCACCUACCGAUUGAAUGGUCCGGUGAACCCUCCGGAUCGGCUCGCGCCAACGCAAGUUGAGCAAAGGCCGAGAAGUUGGGUAAUCCUUACCAUUUAGAGGAAGGUGAAGUCGUAACA
rnacentral:rRNA from 1 species